rnacentral:lncRNA from 1 species
UGUGUAAAUUUACUAUCAUAAUAUUAUUUAGGGUCUGAGUAUCCUUUUAUUUUUUCAGUAGUAGUAUUUAUUUGUACUAUUAGUUAUGAGUAAUCUAUAGUCACUCUUAUAACCUUAAAACAGAACUGGGGUUAUGGCAAUAGUAUAGUAUUCAUGUUUCCGUUAUUCGGUAAUUAUUGAAUUUUAUCUUCUUCUAAAAUUAGGGAUUUUUUUUGGUGAAAAUAGACGAAACUAUUCUUAUCAAUAUCUAAUAGAUCAGAAUUUCAAACAUAAUGGAAAAGGGUAUUUGUGUCAUUCUAUGACAAAUGAGUAGGACAAAACAAAGUUGAUAUGUUGUAUUAUUUCUAGUUGUGUCAACCAAAAAUGACAUUUCUGAUUGCUAACUCAGUUUUGAGGUGUUCAAUAUGAAGUAAUUAAUCUUGGGAUGAAUCCUUGAUAUGUGAUAUUUCAUGCAUGACAAGUGUUGGCAAUAAUUGGAAACCUAUAAAAACAGCUAAAUAUAGCUUAUUUAUAUAGUUUUUUUAAUUUUUGUUAUAAAAAAAAAAAAUUAACCUUAACCUAAGUUUUAGAUCUUAUUUUCAAUAUUUCAAGGUUGAGUGCUCUGAGUUCUUUUAAAUUCAUCGGGAUACUUAACAUUAUUUUUUGAACAAAUUAGUAGGGUGGGAGAAAUAAGUUAGUUUUUGCCUAUCUACUUCUUUUUUUUCAAUUUAACUUUUGAUUAUCUUAUGGAAUAUUAAAUUAAUAAGAAUUUUUUUUUUUUUGUCAAAAGUUCCGAAAUUAAUUAUAAUUAAGUCGAAUAGAUGUGUUACAUCUAAUCAAUAAAAUACAUAGGAUAUGAAACAUACUUAAAUUGCUGUUAUAUUUCUGCCUCUAAAAUAUUAAUUACUUAUUAUAAUUUGUCAAAUAAUCGACUAAGAGAUAUGUUAUUUCGUAAAAAAUUCACGCAACCUUACAUAUAUUUUUAUUAAUCCAAUCACUACUAUAUAUAAAUGGACUUCAACCAAAAUAUAACCUGUACAUUUGGGAACACCACUACGAAAGCGAUGUAUAAGUAUAAAAGCGUCCAAAUAUCACUCAUUUAUCUACAUUUUAAUAAAAUGAAAUUUCACUUAGUUAAAAUUAUGAAAAUACUCUAUAAAUGCACCUAAAGCUUUGGACAACUUCCUAAGAAUUAAUCAAAAUAGAUAUGUAUUUCAAUGCUUAAUUAAUAUCAUGGAACCAAUUUCUUCUCAGAUCUCUACUUUUUUAUCUUAUCCGGAAUAUUGAUUCAGGGUAAUCAUUCUUAGCAUAAAAUUCAAGACCAUAAGUGGUAAUUUCGUGGAACAAGGCAUCUGCUAUCUUGACUUUGGUUUUUCUGGAUCAAAUAACAGAAAUAACUUUUUCACACUAUCACAAGGGUUUAUGCGUAUCCAAUUUGCUGUUCCAAAGCUCUUAAUUGUACAUUAUUUUUUUGCCGAUUAUCUAUCAAGCAAUUAUGCAACUGGCUCAGAACCAUCAGGUGUUCUUGCUUCUACAACUUGUUAGAAUAUUUUUCUCAUAAUUUUAUUAUCUUGUUUUGAUAAAAGGCAGCAGUGCAAUCCUGUCUUCACGUUUGUUAGUUAUGCUCUUGAUCAUCACACAGAGCAAAGAGUAGCAUCUCCAUGUUCAAUGACGUUAAAUUUUCGUCUUGCAUACUCACUAACUUUUGCACUAAAAUGAAAAAUAUAUCCAUCUACUUACUUUUUUUUAUCGGUCUCCAUUCCAUAGAUUAUCAAUGCAAUGGUGACGACAGAGUUAUCUUGCCACUGCGUCAUAUUGAUUUCGUUGUUCCUAGAGCAUGAUGUAACCAUUUCCAUAGAUCCUCUCCAUUUUAAUAACUUUUUUUUUUUGUAAUGGAAAGUUUUUACACAAACGAUUGACUCUCAUGGUGCCUGUCCCAUUAUAUCCUCGCUUUUGUAGUUUAUCAAGUAGGGGUAAAGUAUUGAACAGAUUCUCAAACAUGAUGUGAUGUGGCAAUUUUUUUUAUCAAUACUAAGUCCAUUCAGGAGGUGUAGAACAAAUGAAGCGCUUUUUCUAUAACAUAUUACUAAAUUUUGAUUUUCAAAACUAGAUUUACCCUGGUAAGGUUCGAAGUUAACACAAUAUCCGAAAUCAGAAUUUAGACACCAAAUUUUAAAUCCGAAUCGGAUUGGCUUAUGUCGUAUAGCCUGCUUGCAUCCAUGUUGGCCAAAAUAUUGAACCAUGGAUUCAUCAUGUGACAAAUUUUUGUUGGGAUACGUUUUACGCAAUUUUUUUUAAAGUGUUCGACAAUAGGGCGAAUUUUUGAGAAUCGAUCUGUUUUUACGAGAUAAUUAUUUAUUUUGAUAUGCUAAUCUUUCAUGGUUGGGAUUUUCUAUGUCAGCUUCAGCCAUCAACGGAUUUUUAUUGAGAUUAGAAGCUGAAAAAACAAAUUCAUUGGUUAUCUUUAAGAUAACGUGUUCGUGCUAGUAUUCUAUAAGAUAAUUACAAGUAAAAAAAUAAAUCCAACAAAAUUGAACUUCUUUUUUUUUUUGGUCGUUAUUUCAUCUUUUUAAGCUGUAAUAUAAGGAUUGUUCUUAAGUUUUAGAUUUAAUAUACAGCAAUUGCAUAGUUUCAUCGACAAUCCCAACCGAAUAAAUAAUAUUAAACUGAUGGAAUAAAAAGUUAUACGUAGAGAUAAAAUAAUAACAGUAGUAUCCUCACAUACAAGUUUAAUUUGUUCCCUCAAUGAACUGUUUAAGUUAAAACAACUGAUCCCAUAAGAGAUUUAAAAAAAAACAAAAAAAACUUAAAAUGUCUUACAAACGUUCCAUCGCCACUUUCGUGCAGCUCGUAUGUUAUGGGACUCGUAUCUGAAGGUAUUGCAGUUUUUUGUCUCAAAACUUCAACGUGGUCAUCAUUAUAAUUUGAGGAAUGUUAGUGAGGGGAUGUUUAAGUGGCACAACAUUUUAUUAAAUCAGCCGCAAGUAGUCCUGCCUGGAUGGAAAUAAACACAAAUUUCAUUCCGUAUAUAGGAAGGAAAUAAGGUUGGAAUUACAAGGAUGUCGAUCCUUAAUUCUACUCUCCAACUCUUUAGUCCAGCAUGAAUUAAAACCAUAACUUUCGAGCAAUAUUCUGUCUUCAAUAAUUAAAUAAAAUAACUAACAGUCCUGAAAAAUAAAAAUCCUUGUUCUGAUUGACAAAUAUGAAAAGUAGCUCCUGCUAUCCAGGUUAUACUUUAUACACCCCGGUUCAUUAUGCCAAUAGUUCCAAAGGGGGGGAGGGGUCAUGGGACACAACGGAAUGGUCACGAGAAGGUUUUACAAAAAAAAUAUGUAUAUAAUUACAAUUGGCAUUAACUAGAUAUUAAAAAUCAUCUGGUCUAAAAAGUUUAACGUAUGGUAAAUUUAUUAUUAACCAAUUCUAGGAAAUUUAAUAUAAUUUAUAGUAAGUUAUAUUAUAUAAUGUGAUAAUUUCUUUAAUUUUCGCCAAUUUCUUUGUUUUUUUGCACAUUUAGACUAUUAAUAAGUUCCUUAAUUCUAAUAAAGUUUCUUAGUCGAGCAUAUUUCAUUGUGACAUCCUGAAGGAAAUUUGGAACUGACAAUUUGAGAACGGAUAUUCAUGACUCAAUAAAUUUAUCAAAGAUUGCCUCGAAUUGUUUUGUUUUAGUAAUAAAUGAACUUUUUGACUUGGUCAACCAUCCUCUGGAUAAAGUUGAUAUCCAUGGUGUUAAAUCACCAAUUCCUUGAAUACCACAGUCCAAGGUGGAAAAGGAAGAAUCUGUUAAUACUUCUUGUUCCAAAAUAGGAUUUAAGGCUAAUCCAGGUGCUAAUAGUAACGCAUCAUCAUAUUCUUCAUAAUCAAUUUUUGGUUCAUUCACUUCUUGUUUCAAGUCCUUUAUUAAACAACCAAGGAAGUUGUUGUUUUCUUUACCUUAAAUUUGAUCUGCUGAUGAUCCAGUAUGCGUCCUAUCAGCUUGACCAAAGAUAACUAAUCGGAGUCCAUUUAUACAAUCAACACUAGUUGGAUGGCCAUUCGAGACUCCAAGGACCCUCAAACGCGAGAAAAAGUAUUGCAAGCAAUCCUGAUUCAAUCACGAAGUAAGGAUGUAAUUUAUUCCAGAUGAUUCCCUGAAAUCUUCGAAUCUUCAAAACAGUUAUUCUCAAAAUUAUAGCGGUUGAAACAUUUAAUAAAUCCUGCCUAUGGCAGGCUUGAAUCAAUUUGUAAUGGAUAUUGUCAUUUUUAGGAAAUCGAUGUUAAGAAUAUUCCGGAUCUGAAUCAAUGUGAUAGGUUAAGCAGGUAGCCACAGCACAAGUCUUCUUUUACGAGUAUCUAUUUUACAGCGGUUGGAGCCAACUGUUGAAGCAUCCUUAUAACCAAAUGAACCAACUAUGAUUAAAUGAACAUUACUUAAAGUAAUUUUUUAGAGGGUGAGGAUGGUGGGAUCUAGAAAAACUCAACUACGAAAAAUUUGCA